UAGCGAUGAUGUAAGGACAUACUGGCUGAUCGAACAUUAGUAGGCAGUUUAUCCCGCGCUCAAUAAACAACUGGAUAUAUUGUGUACUUGUAUUUGGACCUGUGUAGUGGUUAUGUGUGAUGUGUAUGGAUCCGUCACCGAUGAGAUUGUGUUGGACCUCAGUAGCGGUUAUGCGAUUAUGGAUCCUUCACCUAUGAAAUCAUGUAAGGGCAUUUUUUAUCAGUAAUUUAGUAAUGUUGUCAUGGUUGAGAUAAGUUCAAAUUUCAGAACCAUUGAAUAUGUUCGAUGUUUGCUGUUUGCAGAAGGCCUUUAUUCAGGACUAGCUAGGUUUAUUAGGAGCUGAGAAUUGGUCCAUGUACAUGUAAUGUGAUCAUCUGUACACAGACGCUGCAUGGUAGGAGAAAUGCUGUUAUGUCAUAAAAAUAUCUGGGAUGUGCAAGCCAGCUCCCGGUAACUAAGCCUGGAGUAGCAAAUGGAAUUGAAAUGAAGCAUAGUAGGAAAAUCCAUGCUAUGAAAAUAGCCUGGAGAAGCAAAUGGAAUGGAAAGGCGCAGCUGUCCAUGACGG
rnacentral:lncRNA from 1 species